rnacentral:lncRNA from 1 species
GCUCGGCUUCUGGGGAGGCCUCAGGAAACUUUUAAUCACUGCAGAAGGUGAAGGGGAAACAGACAAGACUUACUUGGCAGGAGGAGAAAGGGAAAGCUGGAAAAUGAAAGUAAUUUUCCAAGGUGGCCAAAGACUGUUGCCUACCUCUGAAUUUUUAGCAUCUGACACUGCUUCUAAAUUACAUGAUGGUUUGGACUACUGCUUCCUGCAAGUCAAAGCAAUGCUGGCUUCUGGAUUUGGAUUAUGAGCAAAUGAAUUGUUCUUAGCUUCCAACAAAGAUGUUCUGCAGCAGGGCUGCUCAGAACAAAACUGUGCUGACUGCAU